GAUGAACGCUGGCGGCGUGCCUAAUACAUGCAAGUCGAGCGAACGGACGAGAAGCUUGCUUCUCUGAUGUUAGCGGCGGACGGGUGAGUAACACGUGGAUAACCUACCUAUAAGACUGGGAUAACUUCGGGAAACCGGAGCUAAUACCGGAUAAUAUUUUGAACCGCAUGGUUCAAAAGUGAAAGACGGUCUUGCUGUCACUUAUAGAUGGAUCCGCGCUGCAUUAGCUAGUUGGUAAGGUAACGGCUUACCAAGGCAACGACGCAUAGCCGACCUGAGAGGGUGAUCGGCCACACUGGAACUGAGACACGGUCCAGACUCCUACGGGAGGCAGCAGUAGGGAAUCUUCCGCAAUGGGCGAAAGCCUGACGGAGCAACGCCGCGUGAGUGAUGAAGGUCUUCGGAUCGUAAAACUCUGUUAUUAGGGAAGAACAUAUGUGUAAGUAACUGUGCACAUCUUGACGGUACCUAAUCAGAAAGCCACGGCUAACUACGU
rnacentral:rRNA from 1 species